rnacentral:sRNA from 1 species
AGACCACAUCUGGCAGGCCCCAAGGCCCAGGCAGCUUUUUGAGAGCCCCUCUCCUGCCUGGCCUGGGGACAUGAGCCAUUCACAACAGAAGAGAGAGCUCAACAGGACCUGCCGGGCCAUGCAGCAGCGCAUCGUGGAGCUCAUCUCCCGCGUGUCCAACGAGGAGGUCACCGAGGAGCUGCUGCAUGUGAAUGAUGACCUCAACAACGUCUUCCUUCGAUACGAGAGGUUCGAACGAUACAGGUCUGGCCGAUCGGUUCAAAAUGCCAGUAAUGGAGUACUGAAUGAAGUGACCGAAGACAACUUAAUAGACCUGGGGCCAGGGUCUCCAGCCGUGGUGAGCCCGAUGGUGGGGAACACAGCGCCCCCAUCUUCCCUCUCCUCCCAGCUUGCAGGCUUAGCAUCCUCCCCCUUAUCCUUACAGACCCACUCUUGUGUUGGUUUUGAGUCUUUCCUGAUGUCUCAAGCCAAGCACUGCUGUGGCUUGUCUCUUGCCCACUCUGAACUUCUUGAAGCUGAGGACCAUAUCAGAUUCAAU